GAAAUCCCAGCAGCAGCAGAGCACUGUGCUGUUGUCCUGUUCAAGAGAAUGUCAGAGAAGCUGAGUGAAGAUUGUGUUGAGUGGACCACAACAGCCCCAGCACAUUUAACUUGAAGAAAUGGUCAGCUGCUUGCUCAGCUCCCCUGCAUGCUUUCAGCUGCAGCAUGUAGUAGCUGGCAGUUGUGCUCCUUGAGAACAUGCUACCUGGAAGCAACAUCUCUGCCUGGGUGCUAUGGGCAUGCUAAUUAGUCCCUGGCCAAUGCUUCCACCCUCCCCAGUCCCAUAGAUCUGCUGCUGUUUCAGACCUACCAUUCAGAGGUGCAAGAAGAGGCAUUAAAGGCAGAGGUCACUCCUCCAACUCCAGAGGACAGAGUUUUGGCCCUGGAGGUGUUUGUGAAGCUCAGAGUGAGCGACUGGAAAGCAUGAGAAGAAUGGCUGAAGACAACAACUGGCAGCAUCUCUGCCCCCCAGGCUUUCCCUUUGCUCUGAGAGCUUUCUACCAGACAUUAGUCACAACUGAGACUGGGCUGACUUGCUGAUGUUGUACAAGGAAUUGCUCCUCCUUGGAGGCCUGGCUGAUGUAAUCAGAACUCACAAAUGGUAUCAGACCAAA